UACGGAGGGUGCAAGCGUUAUUCGGAAUUACUGGGCGUAAAGCGCACGCAGGCGGUCUGUCAAGUCGGAUGUGAAAUCCCCGGGCUCAACCUGGGAACUGCAUUCGAAACUGGCAGGCUAGAGUCUUGUAGAGGGGGGUAGAAUUCCAGGUGUAGCGGUGAAAUGCGUAGAGAUCUGGAGGAAUACUGGUGGCGAAGGCGGCCCCCUGGACAAAGACUGACGCUCAGGUGCGAAAGCGUGGGGAGCAAACAGG
rnacentral:rRNA from 1 species